rnacentral:lncRNA from 1 species
UUCCAAUUUAGCUAAUUGUGCAUCUAACUCUUUCCGUUGGAGGCAUAAGGUCUCCAAAGUCUCCUUUGCCUGUUGGAUCUUGCACAUUUGAAUUAAUUUCCUCAUGUCUUUCCCUUCGUCCCGAUCUUGGUGAGUAUGGGUUCGGGACUGGUUGUUUAUCCCGUGGUUAUAAGGAUCAAGAGCCUUCUAACUUGUAGAAAAUAACUGUAGUCCAGCCAAAGCUGACUGAGAUUAUGUUGGGACCAAUGUGGGAUCAUUGGAUCUGAGCCUGUCUUUGACCGACCUACGAACCUG